rnacentral:rRNA from 1 species
GACAGAGGUGCCAAGCGUUAGGCGGAAUCACUGGGCUUAAAGCGUGUGUAGGCGGAUCGUUAAGUACCUUGUGAAAUCCCACGGCUCAACCGUGGAACUGCUGGGGUAUACUGGCGAUCUUGAGCCACCUAGGGGCGAGCGGAACAAGCGGUGGAGCGGUGAAAAUGCGUAGAUAUCGCUUGGAACGCCAAUGGUGAAAACAGCUCGCUGGGGGUGUGCUGACGCUGAGACACGAAAGCCAGGGGGAGCGAACGGG